rnacentral:rRNA from 1 species
CAGCCGCCGCGGGAAUACGUAGGGUGCAAGCGUUGUCCGGAAUUAUUGGGCGUAAAGAGCUCGUAGGCGGCUCGUCGCGUCGGCUGUGAAAACCUGGGGCUCAACCCCGGGCCUGCAGCCGAUACGGGCGAGCUAGAAUUCGGUAGGGGAGACUGGAAUUCCUGGUGUAGCGGUGAAAUGCGCAGAUAUCAGGAGGAACACCGGUGGCGAAGGCGGGUCUCUGGGCCGAUAUUGACGCUGAGGAGCGAAAGCGUGGGGAGCGAACAGGAUUAGAUACCCCUGUAGUCCCUGUCUCUUAUAC